UAUUUUUAAGCGCCUGGGCCAUAAUUUUCAAUGGUUGACGAGGUCUAGAGUUAUCGAAAUAUUCGGCGGAUGCUCUAGUGGCUUUUACUUAAGGUCAUUAUUAUUAAUCAAAAAAAUAAUAGUAAUAUUAUAACAGAAAUUA
rnacentral:ncRNA from 1 species